UUAGGUACAGUUUAAAUUCACUAACCCAAAUAAUCAACCAACUUCUGUACAGAAUUGUUUAUUUGUAUAUUUUAUACAACACCAUAUGCUCUAAAAUCAUGUUUAUUUUCAUGUUUCGUUAUUUUUUUUUUUUUGAGAUAUCAAAAAUAACAAAGAACUUAUUAAGCGUUAACAAGCAAUACUUUUAGCGAUUUGCAAUUUAAAUAUGAUGAUCUCUAUGUUUCUUUUUGUUCAAACAUAUUCUGACAGCUAAAUUUUGUUUCACUAUUAAAGAAUAUCAUUACAAUAUCCACACACCUUUCCCAGACAACUAGACCAUAUUGCAUGAUAGACUUGUAUAGAGCGUACAGUAUGCAUGACUUCAGCAGGUAACAUUUUGUUUAGAUUAUAAAACUCCCAAGCGCAUUGUAAGUAUUCUAAAUAUGUAAAUUCUAUCUCAAAUUCCAGUCUAUAAUUAAACCUAAAUAUGUAAUUAAUUAUAUACUUUGUUAAAUCCAAAAAUAUUGCAAAUAAUAAUAUUUUAACUUUUUCACUAUUAUCUAAUUUUUAAUAUAUGAACUUGGUCAUUGAAUAAAGUUUUUAUAAUACCUUUAUCAGGUCAAAAACAAGAUUGAUUAUUUGAUAAUAGUUUAUAACGCUCUAAUGUUAUACAUUUUGAUUUAACAUCAUAGAUAUUGACAGAAAUAUUGGCCUAUGUUAGAUACAUUUUUUUUCCUCCUUAAUUUAUACAAUGAGUAAACUAUAGCUAU